rnacentral:rRNA from 1 species
AGUGAACGCUGGCGGUAGGCCUAACACAUGCAAGUCGAACGGAAGCACAGUAAGAGCUCGCUCUUACGGGUGGCGAGUGGCGGACGGGUGAGGAAUACAUCGGCAUCUACUUUUUCGUGGGGGAUAACGUAGGGAAACUUACGCUAAUACCGCAUACGACCUACGGGUGAAAGCAGGGGAUCUUCGGACCUUGCGCGAUUCAAUGAGCCGAUGUCGGAUUAGCUAGUUGGUGGGGUAAAGGCCCACCAAGGCGACGAUCCGUAGCUGGUCUGAGAGGAUGAUCAGCCACACUGGAACUGAGACACGGUCCAGACUCCUACGGGAGGCAGCAGUGGGGAAUAUUGGACAAUGGGCGCAAGCCUGAUCCAGCCAUGCCGCGUGGGUGAAGAAGGCCUUCGGGUUGUAAAGCCCUUUUGUUGGGAAAGAAAAGCAGCAGGUUAAUACCCCGCUGUUCUGACGGUACCCAAAGAAUAAGCACCGGCUAACUUCGUG